GGAAAUAGGGGAAAAAUGUCGAGCUCAAGACACUAGAUCUAGCUAGACCGCCUUGAGGAUUCUAGAUCUUGUUUUUUGUUAUUAAGACCAACUUAACGUAGACAAUUUAGUCUUAUUACUAGAUUAAACCUGACAUUGGCUAAAAGAUGAUCUGAUGUGUCCAACAGUGGAUGGCUGCCUGAUUGUGUGUUAUGCCAGCUGGACUGUUAUUUUAUAAGACUGUUGAGCAUCUUUUACUUGCAAAUCUAAAAGCUGACACUCAAUGGCUUAGAAGAAAUCCUGUCAGUUUUAUAUGGUCAUGACAAUAAUCUUUACUAAAUAAGUCUUAUACAAGGACAAUAAAGAUUAUUAUUAUUAUUUUCAUAUUUUCAGUUGCUUUGUUUUAAGCUAACGUUGUCUUAAAUUUUUAGAAUUAACAAAUUUGUUACAUUUUCUUUAUAAAUACUCAAAAGUGAAAAAAAUAUUCUUUUGGAUAAAUUUCAACUUUGUGGGACAUGCCCUUUAUAUUUAAUGCAAGCAUAAAAUUAUAAGGCAUUAUCUUCGAUUCCGAAGAUUAAGGAUGAAUGCAGCAUUUCUCUUGAUCACACGAACCCAGUUGCAACUUGUAUAUUUUGUCAUAUCUAAUUCAUUAUACAGACAAACCAGUGGUUUCUUUGGCAUAUAGGAAAGCAGAUUGCCUUUGAAAGAAACAGCUGAAAAGCUCGUCAGACGAC
rnacentral:sRNA from 1 species